AGCCUUCAUUAACAGAGCUAAAGACUAUAAUGCCUUUUUUUCAACUGUGAUAUUAUCUCAACAAAAAAAAAUAUGGUGAAGUAAUCUCCAGCGACGAGUCACCUCCGGCGACGAGCUCUUGAAGUCCGACGAGAAACGAAGUGGUGAUUAUCCAUGUCGACGAAAUGAGCUGUGUAUCGAACUUGGCUUAUGGAAGAAGAAGAGUUCGUGACCUUGCUUUUUGAAUGAGACAGAGCCACCAAAUGAAACACUUGCCUUUCCAUUGUCUCCACAGACUGGGACUCAAAAUUUUUCUCCUAAUAAAGACAGAGCCAUCGAAUGCGACACUUGCCUCUCCAUUGUCUCCACAGACUCAGACUCAAGUUUUUCUCCCUAAUAUGACACAACACAAUGAGACUGAGUCAUCGAAUGAGGCCCCAUCCAAUCCAAAACCAGUAGAACAAUAACUUGACAAUGAUGUAAGAUUUAUUCUGAAAAGACUCUUAUGUAGGCUCGUGAAUUUUCUUAUGACAUUGUUAAUCGCUUGCUUGUGCUUGUGAAACUCUGUGGUUUUGUUAAUUGUAGGAAGGAUUUGUUUAGUUUCAGUUCUGGAAAGCUUUUCAGAAAAUCCAAUAUUAACAAAUUUGAGAAACU